GACAGAGGGUGCAAACGUUGUUCGGAAUUACUGGGCGUAAAGCGUGUGUAGGCGGCCUUGCAAGUCGGAUGUGAAAGCCCUGGGCUUAACCCGGGAAGCGCGCUUGAUACUGCAGGGCUUGAGUGUGGGAGAGGAUGAUGGAAUUCCCAGUGUAGAGGUGAAAUUCGUAGAUAUUGGGAAGAACACCGGUGGCGAAGGCGGCUAUCUGGACCGACAUUGACGCUGAGGCGCGAAAGCUAGGGGAGCAAACGGGG
rnacentral:rRNA from 1 species